GUAAUACUUCCUCCGUCCCAAAACUCUUGUCUUAGUUUUGUCUAGAAAUGAAUGUAUCUAAAUAGUAAAACGUGACUAGAUAUAUUUAUAUAUAGACAAAUUUAAGACACGAAUUUUAUGACGGAGGAAGUAGCAU
rfam:Hordeum vulgare subsp. vulgare, WGS project CAJW01000000 data, contig: morex_contig_76108